AACACAUGCAGGUCGAACGAUGAAGCCGGAGCUUGCUCUGGUGGAUUAGUGGCGAACGGGUGAGUAACACGUGAGUAACCUGCCCUUGACUCUGGAAUAAGCGUUGGAAACGACGUCUAAUACCGGAUACGAGCUUCCGCCGCAUGGUGAGGAGCUGGAAAGAAUUUCGGUCAAGGAUGGACUCGCGGCCUAUCAGGUAGUUGGUGAGGUAAUGGCUCACCAAGCCUACGACGGGUAGCCGGCCUGAGAGGGUGACCGGCCACACUGGAACUGAGACACGGUCCAGACUCCUACGGGAGGCAGCAGUGGGGAAUAUUGCACAAUGGGCGCAAGCCUGAUGCAGCAACGCCGCGUGAGGGACGACGGCCUUCGGGUUGUAAACCUCUUUUAGUAGGGAAGAAGCGAAAGUGACGGUACCUGCAGAAAAAGCACCGGCUAACUACGUGCCAGCAGCCGCGGUAAUACGUAGGGUGCAAGCGUUAUCCGGAAUUAUUGGG
rnacentral:rRNA from 1 species